ACGAGCGCUGGCGGCGUGCUUAACACAUGCAAGUCGAACGGUAAGGCCCUUCGGGGUACACGAGUGGCGAACGGGUGAGUAACACGUGGGUAAUCUGCCCUGCACAUCGGGAUCAGCCUGGGAAACUGGGUCUAAUACCGAAUAGGACCACAGGACACAUGUCCUGUGGUGGAAAGCUUUUGCGGUGUGGGAUGGGCCCGCGGCCUAUCAGCUUGUUGGUGGGGUGAUGGCCUACCAAGGCGACGACGGGUAGCCGGCCUGAGAGGGUGUCCGGCCACACUGGGACUGAGAUACGGCCCAGACUCCUACGGGAGGCAGCAGUGGGGAAUAUUGCACAAUGGGCGAAAGCCUGAUGCAGCGACGCCGCGUGGGGGAUGACGGCCUUCGGGUUGUAAACCUCUUUCACCAUCGACGAAGGUCCGGGUUUUCUCGGGCUGACGGUAGGUGGAGAAGAAGCACCGGCCAACUACGUG
rnacentral:rRNA from 1 species